CCUCCGACGAAGAGAAAAGGUGCCAGUACUACUACUUAUAAUCACUCUGCCCGUAUGAGCCAUCCUGCAAUUUGGUUGAUGGAAGUGAUCAAGAGAAGGUGCAGGACUCCUUGGUUUUCAACGGGCGGGGAAGGAAGACGGCGUGCGUACGUCCCAUGCCCCGGCUGGAUUCUUGGCACGCGGAAUGCGUUUCGCGGGUUCCGCGGCGCGCCCUCGUAACGGCGUCCUUCCGUGGACAAGGCCUCGACUGUACGUACGGCUCCUUCCGCUGCCGCACCGCAGCUCUCGGUUGGAAAGGCGCCCCUUCAAUCGACCGGCCUUUGCCUUUUCUUUCCUUCGUUCUCCCUCUCUCCGUCUCGACUCUGAACCCUGAAGGCCAGUCCACCUCCAGAGCGUACGCAGCUGUUCCCACAAGUUUAAUGCGAUGAUUUCUUUCUUUCUUUCAUUUUUUGAGUACGUCGGAGAAGUGCGCAUCUUUGCGUUUGUGCAAGGAAAACCAGAUGAGAAAGAAAGGCCUUUAGGUCAA